UACGGAGGGUGCAAGCAUUAAUCGGAUUUAUUGGGCGUAAAGGGCGCGUAGGCUGGCUCUUAAGUCAGAUGUGAAAUCCCGAGGCUCAACCUCGGAACAGCAUUUGAAACUGGGAGCCUAGAGGGUAGAAGGAGAGAAUGGAAUUCCACAAGUAGCGGUGAAAUGCGUAGAUAUGUGGAAGAACACCGGUGGCGAAGGCGAUUCUCUGGGCCUGUACUGACGCUGAGGAGCGAAAGCGUGGGGAGCGAACAGG
rnacentral:rRNA from 1 species